AGCAGCAUGGCGCAGUGGUAGCGCGCGGGGCCCAUAUCGACGGUGUUGUCUUCCAUCAGUGAUGGUACCCCGAGGUCACUUGAUCGAAACAAGUUGCUGCUA